rnacentral:rRNA from 1 species
CGGCGAGUGAAGCAGCAAUAGCUCAAAUUUGAAAUCUGGCGUCUUCGACGUCCGAGUUGUAAUUUGUAGAGGAUGCUUCUGAGUAACCACCGACCUAAGUUCCUUGGAACAGGACGUCAUAGAGGGUGAGAAUCCCGUAUGCGGUCGGAAAGGUGCUCUAUACGUAGCUCCUUCGACGAGUCGAGUUGUUUGGGAAUGCAGCUCUAAAUGGGAGGUAAAUUUCUUCUAAAGCUAAAUAUUGGCCAGAGACCGAUAGCGCACAAGUAGAGUGAUCGAAAGAUGAAAAGCACUUUGGAAAGAGAGUUAAAAAGCACGUGAAAUUGUUAAAAGGGAAGGGAUUGCAACCAGACUUGCUCGCGGUGUUCCGCCGGUCUUCUGACCGGUCUACUCCCCGCGUUGCAGGCCAGCAUCGUCUGGUGCCGCUGGAUAAAACUUGAGGAAUGUAGCUCCCUCGGGAGUGUUAUAGCCUCUUGUGAUGCACCGAGCGCCGGGCGAGGUCCGCGCUUCGGCUAGGAUGCUGGCGUAGUGGUCGUAAUCCGCCCGUCUUGAAACACGGACCAAGGAGUCUAACAUCUAUGCGAGUGUUCGGGUGUCAAACCCCUACGCGUAAUGAAAGUGAACGGAAGUGAGAACCGCAAGGUGCAUCAUCGACCGAUCCUGAUGUCUUCAGAUGGAUUUGAGUAAGAGCAUA